GACGAACGCUGGCGGCGUGCCUAAUACAUGCAGGUUGAGCGCUGAAGGUUGGUACUUGUACCAACUGGAUGAGCAGCGAACGGGUGAGUAACGCGUGGGGAAUCUGCCUUUGAGCGGGGGACAACAUUUGGAAACGAAUGCUAAUACCGCAUAAAAACUUUAAACACAAGUUUUAAGUUUGAAAGAUGCAAUUGCAUCACUCAAAGAUGAUCCCGCGUUGUAUUAGCUAGUUGGUGAGGUAAAGGCUCACCAAGGCGAUGAUACAUAGCCGACCUGAGAGGGUGAUCGGCCACAUUGGGACUGAGACACGGCCCAAACUCCUACGGGAGGCAGCAGUAGGGAAUCUUCGGCAAUAGACGAAAGUCUGACCGAGCAACGCCGCGUGAGUGAAGAAGGGUUUCGGAUCGUAAAACUCUGUUGGUAGAGAAGAACGUUGGUGAGAGUGGAAAGCUCAUCAAGUGACAGUAACUACCCAGAAAGGGACGGCUAACUACGUG
rnacentral:rRNA from 1 species